rnacentral:SRP_RNA from 2 species
GCUGGGUGUGGCGGCGUGUGCCUGUAGUCCCAGCUACUUGGGAGGCUGAGGCAGGAGGAUCACUUGAGCCCAGGAGUUCAAGGCUGCAGUGAGCUAAGAUCAUACCACUGCACUCCAGCCUGGGUAACAGAGUGAGAUUCUGUCUCAC